rnacentral:misc_RNA from 1 species
GAUGAAGAACGUAGCGAAAUGCGAUAAGUAAUGUGAAUUGCAGAAUUCAGUGAAUCAUCGAAUCUUUGAACGCACCUUGCGCCCUUUGGCCAUUCCGAAGGGCUUGCCUGUUUGAGUAUCAUGAACACCUCAACUCUUUAUGGUUUUCCAUGAUGAGCUUGGACUCUGGGGGUUUUGCUGGCUCACAGUCGGCUCCUCUAAAAUGAAUCAGCUUACCAGUGUUUGGUGGGUAUCAUGGGUGUGAUAACUAUCUACGCUUGUGGUUUUUCCACCAGGUAACCUUCAGCAGUGGAGGUUCGCUGGAGCUCAUAGAUGUCUCUCCUCAGUGAGGACAGCCCUUUGAAUGUUUGAUCUCAAAUCAGGUAGGACUACCCGCUGAACUUAAGCAUAUCAAUAAGCGGAGGA